AGUGAACGCUGGCGGUAGGCCUAACACAUGCAAGUCGAACGGCAGCACAGUAAGAGCUUGCUCUUACGGGUGGCGAGUGGCGGACGGGUGAGGAAUACGUCGGAAUCUACUUUUUCGUGGGGGAUAACGUAGGGAAACUUACGCUAAUACCGCAUACGACCUACGGGUGAAAGCAGGGGAUCUUCGGACCUUGCGCGAUUGAAUGAGCCGAUGUCGGAUUAGCUAGUUGGCGGGGUAAAGGCCCACCAAGGCGACGAUCCGUAGCUGGUCUGAGAGGAUGAUCAGCCACACUGGAACUGAGACACGGUCCAGACUCCUACGGGAGGCAGCAGUGGGGAAUAUUGGACAAUGGGCGCAAGCCUGAUCCAGCCAUACCGCGUGGGUGAAGAAGGCCUUCGGGUUGUAAAGCCCUUUUGUUGGGAAAGAAAAGCAGCAGGUUAAUACCCCGCUGUUCUGACGGUACUCAAAGAAUAAGCACCGGCUAACUUCGUG
rnacentral:rRNA from 1 species